rnacentral:lncRNA from 1 species
CUCUCCAAGGCAGAGGCAUUAUCGUCCUUGUCAGCUGGGCUAACGACUGGACAAGAAAAAUUGAGGCUCAGAGAGGUUGAGGAACUUGCCCUGGGACCUCUGGAUACCAGGAUUUGGGCCCAGGCAGCCUGACUCAAGAGCCAUGAUCCUGACUUUGGUAUUAUCCUGCCCUUCCUUCAACGUCACCCCCAAAAGGGACACUCUGGAUGCCAGCCCCAUCGUAUACCAGCACGUAACAUCAUAUCCGGCACACAGUAGGUGAUCAGCAAAUACUUAUGAAUGAACACACAGGUGCACAGAGGGCCCUUGGUGUUCCUCCAUGGCAUUUAUAUUGACUUUUUAUGUCUUCCUUCUCCAUCCACUUGAUGCUGUGGAGAACCUGUACUUCCAUUUAGAGCCCCUGAGUAAGUCCAGGACAAAGUCUCCAGGCUCUGUAUUCCAGAACACCGCCUCUCCAGUAGGGAAGACUCCGGGAGCAUCCUGUCUUCCCAGGCAGGAAUGGAGGCCAGGAGGCUUUGCCCAGACCUUGACUGUGCUAUUGCCAAGUGACCAGCUCUGGGGUCUGGCUCCUCUGCCACUUGGGAGGGGACUUGGCAGAUGGGCUUCCCUUCACCCCAGUCCCUGCUCCCCAGCCAGAGACCCUGAGUUCCAGCCCAGGGUAAUGAGGGGAAGUAACAGAUACACCUACUUUUAAUCCAAAUAAAGGAAAAAUGUUUGCCACCA